GACGAACGCUGGCGGCGUGCUUAACACAUGCAAGUCGAACGGCAAGGCCCUGCUUUUGUUGGGUGCUCGAGUGGCGAACGGGUGAGUAACACGUGAGUAACCUGCCCUUGACUUUGGGAUAACUUCAGGAAACUGGGGCUAAUACCGGAUAGGAGCUCCUGAUGCAUGGUGGGGUGUGGAAAGUUUCGGCGGUUGGGGAUGGCCUCGCGGCUUAUCAGCUUGUUGGUGGGGUAGUGGCUUACCAAGGCUUUGACGGGUAGCCGGCCUGAGAGGGUGACCGGCCACAUGGGGACUGAGGUACGGACCAGUCUCCUACGGGAGGCAGCAGGGGGGAAUAUUGCACAAUGGGCGGAAGCCUGAUGCAGCAGCGCCGCGUGCGUGAUGACGGCCUUCGGGUUGUAAACCGCUUUCGCCUGUGACGAAGCGUGAGUGACGGUAAUGGGUAAAGAAGCACCGGCUAACUACGUG
rnacentral:rRNA from 1 species